GAUGAACGCUGGCGGCGUGCCUAAUACAUGCAAGUCGAGCGAACAGAUGAGGAGCUUGCUCCUCUGACGUUAGCGGCGGACGUGUGAGUAACACGUGGAUAACCUACCUAUAAGACUGGGAUAACUUCGGGAAACCGGAGCUAAUACCGGAUAAUAUAUUGAACCGCAUGGUUCAAUAGUGAAAGACGGUUUUGCUGUCACUUCUAGAUGGAUCCGCGCCGCAUUAGCUAGUUGGUAAGGUAACGGCUUACCAAGGCAACGAUGCGUAGCCGACCUGAGAGGGUGAUCGGCCACACUGGAACUGAGACACGGUCCAGACUCCUACGGGAGGCAGCAGUAGGGAAUCGUCCGCAAUGGGCGAAAGCCUGACGGAGCAACGCCGCGUGAGUGAUGAAGGUCUUCGGAUCGUAAAACUCUGUUAUUAGGGAAGAACAAAUGUGUAAGUAACUAUGCACGUCUUGACGGUACCUAAUCAGAAAGCCACGGCUAACUACGUG
rnacentral:rRNA from 1 species